GAUGAACGCUGGGCGGCGUGCCUAACACAUGCAAGUCGAGCGAUUCUCUUCGGAGAAGAGCGGCGGACGGGUGAGUAACGCGUGGGUAACCUGCCCUGUACACACGGAUAACAUACCGAAAGGUAUGCUAAUACGAGAUAAUAUGCUUUUAUCGCAUGGUAGAAGUAUCAAAGCUUUUGCGGUACAGGAUGGACCCGCGUCUGAUUAGCUAGUUGGUAAGGUAACGGCUUACCAAGGCGACGAUCAGUAGCCGACCUGAGAGGGUGAUCGGCCACAUUGGAACUGAGACACGGUCCAAACUCCUACGGGAGGCAGCAGUGGGGAAUAUUGCACAAUGGGCGAAAGCCUGAUGCAGCAACGCCGCGUGAGCGAUGAAGGCCUUCGGGUCGUAAAGCUCUGUCCUCAAGGAAGAUAAUGACGGUACUUGAGGAGGAAGCCCCGGCUAACUACGUG
rnacentral:rRNA from 1 species